GGCGCUGUAGUGUAGAGGUUAUCACUCGAGAUUUUGAUAUGUAUAGAUGACCACUUGUUCUCGAAACCCAGGUUCGAGUCCUGGCAGUGCCU